rnacentral:rRNA from 1 species
GAUGAACGCUAGCGAUAGGCUUAACACAUGCAAGUCGAGGGGCAGCAUGGUCUUAGCUUGCUAAGAUUGAUGGCGACCGGCGCACGGGUGCGUAACGCGUAUGCAACUUGCCUCACAGAGGGGGAUAACCCGUCGAAAGACGGACUAAUACCGCGUACACUCUAUGUUGGGCAUCCAAUGUAGAGGAAAUGAAAUUCGCUGUGAGAUAGGCAUGCGUCCCAUUAGCUAGUUGGUGAGGUAACGGCUCACCAAGGCGACGAUGGGUAGGGGAACUGAGAGGUUGAACCCCCACACUGGUACUGAGACACGGACCAGACUCCUACGGGAGGCAGCAGUGAGGAAUAUUGGUCAAUGGGCGAGAGCCUGAACCAGCCAAGUCGCGUGAAGGAUGACUGUCUUAUGGAUUGUAAACUUCUUUUAUACGGGAAUAACAAGAGCCACGUGUGGCUCCCUGCAUGUACCGUAUGAAUAAGCAUCGGCUAACUCCGUGCCAGCAGCCGCGGUAAUACGGAGGAUGCGAGCGUUUUUCCGGAUUUAUUGGGGUUUUAAAGGGUGCGUAGGCGGCCUGUUUAAGUCAGCGGUGAAAUCUAGGAGCUUAACUCCUAAAUUGCCAUUGAUACUGGCGGGCUUGAGUGUAGAUGAGGUAGGCGGAAUGCGUGGUGUACCGGUGGAAUGCUCAGAUUUUAGGAAAAAACCAUGGGCGAAGGCAGGCCACUGUGCCCGCCCUGAUCUCAGGAGCGAAAACGUGGGGGAGACAAACAGGAUAAACCCCCGUGUAGUCAAAGGGAGAAUUCACAGUGGGCUGCACCCCGGGGGGAUCUCACUAUGUUCUAGAGCGGCCGCCCCGGGGGGAGUUCUAAAUCUCUCUAUUAGUGAGUUGUAUUUACGCCCGCUCACUGUCGCUCUUUAUAUCAAAAA